rnacentral:rRNA from 1 species
CUAAAGGAAUCUGGAGAAACUCUGAACAUUAGUUCUGCUGGUUCUUUAGAUACAGAUGAUAUUUGUGACCUUCCGUUGUCUUCACGUCGAGAAACAGUUUCCAGUGAUGAAUAUCCAGUUGGUGAGCCGAUUAAGAGAUAUGCAGUUGAGCUUCAAGCUUCUGGGGAGGCAGUAUAUGUAGAUGAUAUCCCUGCUCCAAAGAAUUGCCUUUACGGAGAGUUUAUUUACAGCACACAACCUCUUGCAUAUGUCAAGAAUAUCAAGUUCAAACCUUCUUUAGCAUCAGAGAAGAUCCUCACGGUUGUUUCUGCAAAUGAUAUUCCAAGUGGCGGGCAAAAUAUUGGGUCAAGCUUGAUGUUUGGGGACGAACCACUUUUUGGUGCCCCAAUUGUUGCGUAUGCUGGACAAGCUCUUGGUGUCGUGAUUGCAGAAACUCAGAGAUACGCCAACUUGGCAGGAAAACAGGUUGUUGUUGAAUAUGACACAAAAGAUUUGAAGCCACCAAUCUUUACUGUAGAACAAGCAGUACAAAACAACAGCUAUUUCGAAGUUCCUCCUGAGAUGUAUCCAAAACAAGUUGGUAAUUUUUGCAAGGGCAUGGCAGAAGCUGACCACAAGAUCCUCUCAACGAAAGUGAAACUUGCCUCUCAAUACUACUUCUACAUGGAAACACAAGCGACUCUAGCAAUUCCAGAUGAAGAUAACAGCAUGGUCGUAUACAUUUCAUCACAGUACCCUGAGGUUGCACAGAGUGCAAUAGCCAAGUGCCUCGGCAUUCCGUUCAGCAGCGUGCGUGUCAUUACAAGGAGGGUUGGAGGAGGCUUUGGUGGGAAGGCAUUCAGAUCAUGCAAUGUAGCAACGGCAGCUGCACUCUGUGCAUUCAAGUUACCGGUGCGGAUGUAUCUCAACCGCAGUACUGACAUGAUCAUGAUCUGGGGUCGUCACCCCAUAAAAGCAUAUUACUCUGUUGGUUUAAAGUCUGAUGGGAGAAUCACAGCCUUGCACCUGGACAUACUAGUCAAUGCUGGAAUUUCUCCAGAUGCUAGCACCAUAAUGCCAGACACCAUCAUUUCAGGCCUGAAGAAAUACAACUGGGGUGCUCUCUCGUUCGACAUCAAGCUCUGUAAAACAAACAACACAUCCAAGUCAGUAAUGCGUGCUCCUGGAGAUGCUCAGGGAUCUUUUAUCGCUGAAGCUAUCAUCGAGCAUGUCGCUUCGGUGCUGUCACUUGAUGCUAAUAGUGUCAGACAGAAGAAUUUCCACACCUAUGACAGCCUUGUGUUGUUCUAUCCAGAAAGCACAGGCGAAGCUUCUACGUACACAUUGCAUUCUAUCUUCGAUAGGUUGCUCACGACAUCGAGCUACCUGCAUCGAGCCGAAUCCAUCAGGCAGUACAACAGCUGCACCAAGUGGUGGAAGCGGGGUAUCUCUUGCGCGCCCCUCGUCUUCAAGGUGGCACCAAGGCCAGCUCCUAGAAGAGUUUCUGUGCUCAACGAUGGUUCCAUUGUGGUUGAGGUUGGAGGCAUUGAGAUUGGGCAAGGGCUGUGGACCAAAGUACAGCAAAUGACAACUUUUGCUUUGGGACAGUUGUGGCCUGAUGGAUGUGAAUCCCUUCUUGAUAGGGUGCGUGUUCCUCAGGCUGAUAUGCUGAACUUGAUCCAAGGUGGGCUCACCGCCGGCAGCACUUCGUCUGAGUCUAGCUGUGCAGCAACCCUUGAGGCCUGCAACAUGCUGGUUGACAGAUUAAAGCCAGUCAUGGAGAAGCUCAAGCAGCAAUCCGGCGGUGCUGUUUCAUGGGAUGCUUUGAUUGCUCAGACCGUUAAGGAUAAUGUUAAUUUGUCCUCAAGUACAUACUGGGUACCUGGCCAAGAAUCCAGUACCUAUCUGAACUAUGGAGCUGGUAUAAGUGAGGUGGAGAUUGAUCUUCUUACAGGAACCAUUACUUUACUACGGAGCGACCUUGUGUAUGACUGUGGAAAGAGUUUGAACCCUGCAGUGGACUUGGGCCAGAUUGAAGGCUCCUUCAUACAAGGAGUCGGUUUCUUCAUAAAUGAAGAACACGAAACAAAUGCCGAUGGACUGGUUGUGAGUGACAGUACAUGGGUCUACAAGAUCCCAAGCGUCGACACCAUCCCGAAGCAGUUCAACGCCGAGGUGCUCAACACUGGGUACCACAAGAACCGUGUGCUUUCGUCAAAGGCUUAUGGGGAACCCGCCUUAGUUCUUGCGGCAUCCGUCCAUUGUGCGGUGAGAGAAGCCAUCCAAGCGGCGAGGAAGGAGUUUGGGAGCUCAGGGCUCACUUUCCAGUUCGACGUCCCUGCGUCGAUGACGUGUGUGAAGGAAAUGUGUGCUUUGGACAUUGUGGAUGAGUACUUGGAAAGCCUAUCUAAACAUCAGUCUCGAGCUGCGGCGUGA